rnacentral:rRNA from 1 species
UUGACGGGGAGCACCACAACGGGUGGAGCUUGCGGUUUAAUUGGAUUCAACGCCGGAAAUCUUACCGGGACCGACAGCAAUAUGAAGGCCAGGCUGAAGACUUUGCCGGAUUAGCUGAGAGGUGGUGCAUGGCCGUCGUCAGUUCGUACUGUGAAGCAUCCUGUUAAGUCAGGCAACGAGCGAGACCCACGCCCACAGUUGCCAGCGUACUCUCUGGAGUGACGGGUACACUGUGGGGACCGCCGCUGCUAAAGCGGAGGAAGGAAUGGGCAACGGUAGGUCAGUAUGCCCCGAAUAUCCCGGGCUACACGCGAGCUACAAUGGUUGGUACAAUGGGUAUCUACCCCGAAAGGGGACGGGAAUCUCCUAAAACCAAUCUUAGUUCGGAUUGAGGGCUGCAACUCGCCCUCAUGAAGCUGGAAUCCGUAGUAAUCGCGGAUCAGCACGCCGCGGUGAAUACGUUCCCGGGCCUU